UACGAAGGGUGCAAGCGUUACUCGGAAUCACUGGGCGUAAAGCGUGCGUAGGCGGUUGGUUAAGUCUGCUGUGAAAGCCCUGGGCUCAACUUGGGAACUGCAGUGGAUACUGGCCAGCUCGAGUGUGAUAGAGGAUGGUGGAAUUCCCGGUGUAGCGGUGAAAUGCGUAGAGAUCGGGAGGAACACCAGUGGCGAAGGCGGCCAUCUGGAUCAACACUGACGCUGAGGCACGAAAGCGUGGGGAGCAAACAGG
rnacentral:rRNA from 1 species